rnacentral:rRNA from 1 species
GGCGUAAGGGCUCGCAGGCGGUUUCUUAAGUCUGAUGUGAAAGCCCCCGGCUCAACCGGGGAGGGUCAUUGGAAACUGGGGAACUUGAGUGCAGAAGAGGAGAGUGGAAUUCCACGUGUAGCGGUGAAAUGCGUAGAGAUGUGGAGGAACACCAGUGGCGAAGGCGACUCUCUGGUCUGUAACUGACGCUGAGGAGCGAAAGCGUGGGGAGCGAACAGGAUUAGAUACCCUGGUAGUCCACGCCGUAAACGAUGAGUGCUAAGUGUUAGGGGGUUUCCGCCCCUUAGUGCUGCAGCUAACGCAUUAAGCACUCCGCCUGGGGAGUACGGUCGCAAGACUGAAACUCAAAGGAAUUGACGGGGGCCCGCACAAGCGGUGGAGCAUGUGGUUUAAUUCGAAGCAACGCGAAGAACCUUACCAGGUCUUGACAUCCUCUGACAAUCCUAGAGAUAGGACGUCCCCUUCGGGGGCAGAGUGACAGGUGGUGCAUGGUUGUCGUCAGCUCGUGUCGUGAG